rnacentral:rRNA from 1 species
GACGAAGGAUGCAAGCGUUAUCCGGAUUCAUUGGGUUUAAAGGGAGCGUAGGCGGACUUGUAAGUCAGUGGUGAAAUCUGUGGGCUUAACCCACAAACUGCCAUUGAUACUGCAGGUCUAGAGUACAGUUGCCGUCGUGGCGGAAUAUGACAUGUAGUGGUGAAAUACUUAGAUAUGUCAUAGAACACCGAUUGCGAAGGCAGCUAACGAAGCUGUAACUGACGCUGAGGCUCGAAAGUGCGGGGAUCAAACAGG